AAGAACUUGUUACUUGCUUGUGUUUGAACGAAUUUUCAGAAAUAAUGAAGCAGAAUUUGGAAGAAUUGGUUGAAAUACAAGUUGUAUUUCGUCUCGAGAGGAGUUCGUGAGCGCAAACGGAUCAUAAAUCGGAGUUCGGACGAGGGAGAACGAGCCAAAACAAAAUCACUGCGCAAAGCUGUCAGGAGUUCUGUUUCGUCACGCGGGCCAGCCAUGCGGCCGCGCGACGUGGCCGCGCGAGUCGCCGUAUUUCCGCCCAAAAUUCGUUUUUUUAGCGAUUUUGGGUAUUUUUGAGAGCUACAAGACCUAGGGCAUAUAAAUACUCCCCAAGAACUUAUUCUCUGCACCUUUUUAUCAUUUAUAUCAUAUUUUACUUUUCCUGAGAGCUGAGAGAGACGGAGAACAGAGCAAGAGCAAGACUGAAGAUUCUCGAUUUUACUACGGUUUUUCUUGUUGAAUGUUUAUUUAUUUGAUUGAGAAUUGUAUUCUAGUUCAUAUGUCUAUGUGUGGCUAGAAUCCUUUUUUCCCAGGGUUUAGGGAGUAAACAUGGUUUGAAUUUCUGACUGUUUGAUUCGAUUAAUUGAGAUUGUUAUUCCUUUUUAUGUUCUUGUUAUUAUUGUUUGCUUUAUUGAUUGGCCACCAAUUUAGCAUAAUCAUAGGUUCUAAUUUGAGAUCGGGAGAUGAUAAUUAUUACCUGAACUAAGAACAUAUAAC
rnacentral:lncRNA from 1 species